GAGUCCGGUCUGUUCCGGAGACUCUGAGCGCGGCCGCGGAGCUGCAGUGGCGGGGAGUGGGGUGCGGAUCUUGUGUUUGCGCACGCAGUCGCCGGCCACCUCAGGCCGGAGCUAGAGAUACGGCUCGGGAUAGGAGGGCCCGGCGGCUCUGAGGCAGGUUCGCCUCGAGCCGCACGGCCCGGAGCAGCGGCUCCGCGGUGGUCCCCGGGGCUUGAGAGGGGUGCGGGCCUGGGAGCCCCUGAGGGCCUGAUUUACGGAACUCCCCCUCCUUCCUCCUUUCUGCCGUUCCCUGCUCUGUGGCGGAUGCGCAGGGAUCAGUAGGGACGGCAGCAGUAGGGCCACUCGGGCCUGCCCCGCUUCCCGCAUUGCCCGGUUUGGCGCGCCGCCUCCGGGCCUUGGCAAAGCCCCAGCGCCCGAUUGUCACUGACCAGUGCUUGGAAGUCCUUUACCGACUGCCCGUCAGCGUCCCGCGGAGAGGAUUUUGCGUCUCCAAAGACGCCCCUCUUCCGAAAACAGGCUCCUCUGUGUUCUCAGUCGGGUAUAUUUUUCUGUCUCCAAACUAGAUUGGCAGCCGUUUUUUGAGAGCAGGGAUGGCCAUCUGGGACCUCCACCCGUGAAAAGGCGGCUCAUUGGUCUGACUCCAACACUAAAUUACGCCAUCCAGGAAGCCUUUCCUAGUCACCUCUGUUGGAGAUCGUCCUCCUUUGUGUGUCGGUUGUUAGUAAAGAGCACACGUUCUGUGGAAAGAUGUUGAGGUAUCUGCUGGAUGGCUUUGAUAGAAACAAAUGUCAGCUGUUUUUUCAGAUGGCAUUUGUCUUGUUUCAGCCUGGUUGUUGGUAGCUUUUCUGUCGCCUGGCUUGAGGGCAAGGACUGUAUGUUUAUUUUUCACGUUAAGAUGCCUUUAUGUGCAUGUGUCUGUUUCAUGAAUACAUAGGUGAAUUGAGUUCCCCUUAAAUAGGAUUUCCCUCUUAUUUUAUAGGUUUUUUUUUUUCUCUCAAGUUGUUUCACUCUGGGGGAAAUGUGACCAUUGUGAAAUAUCAUCGCUUAGUUAAAAAGAAAGUAGAAUUCAGCAGUAGCUGCUUUUUUUAAUACUAUGAAAAGACAUUCCUAAGCAAGAUGAAGCUUUGAGACUUUUCCUAAGUAGGACCUACUGCUGAGAGUAAGUCUUGGGGAGAAUAAGCCAAUUAAGAAUGAGUCUUUGGUUCUGAUAAAGUAACCAUGGAGGUGAUGGAUAAUGAGUGUAGGUCCUUGCUCACACUUCUGGCCAUAUGAGCCCGGAGCCAGGGAGGUACUAUAAAAGGAAUGGGCUCCUGUAAUGGACUGUGACUGCAGUGGUGGUAUAUAGCAAGACUUCCGGUUUGCAGUAGGUUUAGAAGCCUAAAUAGUCUCCCUGGUUGUCUCUGCCAGGGCCACAAAUAGUUGUGCUGUGCAUCUCAAAAGUGUGGUCUGGGGAUCUGCAGCGUCACUGUCACCAUCACUUGGGAGGUUGUUAAGAAAUGCAUGUUAUCAGGCCCUACCCCACGCCUACUCAAUUUAGAAUCUGUAGGGCUAGGGGACCACUAAUCUUUAAGAAGUUGAUAUGGUUAGGCUUUAUGUCCACACCCAAAUCUCAUCUUGAAUUGUAAUUCCCAUAAUCCCCACCUUUCAAGGGAGAGACCAGGUGGAGGUAAUUGAAUUAUGGAGGCAGCUUCCCCCAUGCUGUUCUCAUGAUAGUGAGUUCUCACAAGAUGUGAUGGUUUUAUAAGGGGAUCUUGCCUCUUCGCUCAGCACUUCUUCCUGCCUCCUUGUGAGGAAAGUGCCUUGCUUCCCCCUUUGCCUUCUGCCAUGUUUGUAAGUUUUCUGAGGCUUCCCCAGCCAUGCUGAACUGUGAGUCAAUUAAACUUCUUUCCUUUAUAAAUUACCCAGUCUUGGGCAUUCUUUGUAGCAGUAUCCUUUAUAGCAGUAUGUAUAGCUGUAUGGACUAGUACAGAAGUUUUCCAGAUAAUUCUGUGCUCGGAAAAGUUUGGGAACCACAGCAGAACCUUGUUACUCAACAUGUGGUCUGUGGGCUGUGCAGCAUGGGCAUCACCUGGGGUCUUCUGAGAAAAGCCAGGUCUCAGGUCCUACCCAAGACCUGUGUAGCCAAAAUCUGCAUUUUAAUAUGACCCCCAGGUCAUUUAUGUGUACAUCACACUUUGAGAAGCACUGCACCAGAAAUCUUUUAACACUGUUCAUUACAUCCAUCCCAUGGAAGUAUCUUGUCUUGGGAUCCCGAGGGUGUGAGUUCUUCCGUCUUACUGGCUUUUUCCUGUCUGAUACAUGAUGUCCAUUUUAAAAAUUUUAUUUAUUUUAACUUUUUGAGGUAGAGUCUAACUUUGUCACCCAGGCUGGUGUGCAGUGGGGUGAUUUCGGCUCACUGCAACCUCCGUCUCCCGGAUUGAAACGAUUCUCCUGUCUCAGCCUCCUGAGUAGCUGGCAUCACGUGCUGGCCACCACGCCCGGUUAAUUUUUGUAUGUUUAGUAGAGACAGAGCUUCACCAUGUUGGCCAGGCUGGUCUCAAACUUCUGAUCUCAAGUCAUCCACCUGCCUUGGCCUCCCAAAGUGCUGGGAUUACAGGUGUCCUCCACUGCGCCCAGCCCAGUGUUCAUUUUUCAAUUGUUUGACUUAGUAUAAACACUCUCCAUCAUUCCUGCCUUCUGUGACAACAGACUGUGCGUGUUUCCUCUGUCUACCUUUCAGGCAUUCCUUUUAAGUUUCAUGCAGCUACUCCUCCUCCCUCCUCCCUUCUCUUUCUCUUCUUUCUUCUUUUCUUCUUUCUUCCUCUUCCUUCUUCUUCCUCUUCCUCCUGUUCUUCCUCCUCCUCCUCUCUUCUUUCUUCUUCUCCUCCCUUCUCCCUUUUUGGAAAGAGGACUUACUGUGUCAUCCAGCCUAGAGUGCAGUGGCUGAAUCAUGGCUCAGUGCAGCCUUGCUCUCAAAGGCUCAAGCAAUCCUCCCAUCUCAUCUUCCAGAAUAGCUAGGUUACAGGCAUGCACCACCAUGCCUGACUAAUUUUUUAAAAAUUUUUUUGUAAAGAUUGGGGGUGGCAGGGGGUCUCUCUGUUGCCCAGGCUGGUCUCAAACUCCUGGGCUGCAGCGAUCCUCUUGCCUCAGCCUUCCAAAUUGUUGGGAUUACAGGCAUGAGCCACCAUGCCUGGCCUCCUCUUCCUCUUAAAAAUCAAUGAUUCUGUGGCCCGUGGAUCUGAUUUCCACUGAUACUCUGAUAACUCCUGUUUUUAUGUCCAGGUGUAUCUCCUGGUCUCCAGGUGCCAUAUGUCCACUGCCUAUUGGACAUUUCCAUGUGUGUAAACACCUCAAACUCAACAUGUUAAACCUUUUUCUAAUCCCCACACUUGCGGUUCCUUCUGUGUGCUCCAUUUACCUUAUUGCUCAAAUCAAGAGCCUAGAAGCCAUCCUUGAUUCCUCUCUAUUGUGUAAUCCACACAUCCAAUCAUCCAUUGAGUCCUGUUGGCAUUUAUCUCGUAAAUACCUCAGAUCUUGUUCACUUUGCUCAUCUCUGUUGCCACCACCGUAGUCCAUUUACCUGUAUGUAAUAACCAUAGUGAUCUUACUAAAAUAUAAAUCCCUUGGAGGCGUUUUGGCUUUAUUAUAAAAAUUAAGCUCCAUGACACAGCUUGUAAGGACUGCCACGAAUCAGGCUCUGUUUCCCUCUUCAACCUCUCCUUCACUUUCUAUUCACAUAAACCUCUGUCAGAGGUUUGUCACGUGGCUUAUAAAAAGUCUUAAACCCUCUUUAAUUGACUAGGUACUCUUCAGCCUUUAGACCUCAGCUUACACGAUCUGUGCUGCCUCAUGUUUAUCCUCAUACAGUAUCCGGUUCCACAGAAUCAUGGUUUUUCUUUGUGAACAACAGAAUACCGUGGAAGUGACAGUGUGGGACUUCUGAGGCUAAGUCAUAAAAGACAUCCCAGUUUCAGCCUUAGCCUCUCUUGGAUUGCUCACUUAGCGGGGAUGCCAGCCACCAUGUAGUGAGGACACUCAAACUGCCUGUAGAGAAGGCCACGUAGGCAACAGCCUGCACCACCUUGGCAGCCAUGGGAGUGAGCCAUCUUGGAAGUAUUAGGUUGGUGGGACAUUAAAAGUAAUGGCAAAAACCAAGAUUACUUUUGCACCAACCUAAUAGAUCGGCCAGCUACAGGUCAGCCUUCAGAUGGCGGCAUAAGAGAUCUUGGGCCAGAAGUGCCCAUCUAUGCCACUCCCAAGUAUUUGACACACAGAGACUAUGAGGAUAAUAAAUGUACAUUGUUUUUUUAAGCCACUAAGUUUUGGGGGUAAUUUUGUACAAUGAUAGAUAACCAAUACAAUAUCCACCGUAUGUAUGUGUUACGAUUUAUUUAUUCCCAUCUAGUUGGACAUCUAGGUUGUUUCUAGUUUUAUGCUAUUUCAGGGAAUGCUGUAAGAACAUACUUAUAUUUAUGUAACUCUUUAGGAUGUAUUUCUGGAAACAGGGUUGUUGGAAUUCAUAUUCUUUUUUUUUUUUUUGAGACAGAGUCUCACUCUGUCGCCCAAGCUAGAGUGCAGUGGCGCAAUCUUGUCUCACUGCAACCUCUGCCUCCCAGGUUCAAGCGAUUCUCCUGCCUCAGCCUCCUGAGAAGCUUGGAUUACAGGCACCCGCCAUCAUGCCGGGCUAAUUUUUGUCUUUUUAGUAGAGAUGGGAUUUCACCAUGUUGGCUAGGCUGGUCUUGAACUCCUGACCUCAAGUGAUCCACCCGCCUCGGCCUCCCAAAGUGCUGGGAUUACAGUUGUGAGCCACCAUGCCCAGCCCUAGAACUCAUAUUCUAAAUUGUGAUAAACAUUGGUAAACUACAUUCCAAAAAGGUUAAAGAUUCUAUUGUUUUUCUCUUCCACCAGUGGGUAUUAUGACACUUAUUUCUCCAUGCCAUUGCCAACAAUUAGUUUUUAAAUCUUUGCCAAUCUUAGGUGACAAAUAAUACAUGAUUAGUGUGCAUUCUUUAUUAAUGAGGUGAAGACAAUAUAUCAGGAGUUUAUUGGCUAUUUGCAUUUCUUUUGUAUAAUUUGUCUUUUUGUGUUCUUUCACCAUCUAUUUAAUCUUGCUGUGACGGGAUUAUUUAUAGAUUAUGAGUUUUUUUUGUUUUUGUUUUCGAGACAGGGUCUUGCUCUGUUGCCCAGACUGGAGUGCAGUGGCGCCAUCUCAGCUGACUGCAGAUUCAACCUUCUGAGCUCACGAAAUCCUCCCAUCUCAACCUCCUGAGUAGCUGGGACCACAGGCUGAGCACAGGGUUGCUCCAGGUGGGCCCAAAUGCUGAAGAGCCUCAUGUUAGAGUUUUUCACCUCUGCGAUGGAACUGUGGUGGACUCCAGUAUCAUCAUUCCAGGGAGGCAUAGCCGCACCAACUGUGUUCCCAGGUUUCACAUGGAGAAGGGUUUUAGAAAGUGCAGAUAGCCUUGAAACCAUUGGUUUCCUACCACUGUUUAUUUCAGCAUAACUUUUUUUGUGUGGAAUGCUAGCUCUGGAAGAGCAGAAAUAAAUACAGCUUAAGCUUUGAACCAUAUCCUGCUGUACUUUUUCUCAUAAGCUGGAAAUAGAAUUUUCUAACACCGUUUGUGGUUGGAAAUACUGAAUUUAAAUGGGACUGCAGAUAUAAACAAAAAGAACAAGAUGUGGAUUGAUGUGCCUAUUUCAGUAAAACACAGCCACAUUAUUUCUGAAAUAUGGAUACUAAAGAUGACAAGUAGAAAAAAAAUUGGAGAUGUGCACAGUUG
rnacentral:lncRNA from 1 species